rnacentral:misc_RNA from 1 species
GGACUAGGAGACCGUGCCCGCUGACCGUCUGGCCGUGGCAAAGGAUUGUCAUCUGGUGGGCCCCCGCCGUCAAUUGGCUCGCUGCAUUCUCCCGGAGCGGAACUCCCAGGUCCCAAGUUCGGUCUCGUCCGGUGGUCGUCGCGCGAUUCUUUCGGAUUUUCCUGGUUUUUUUUUGUGAAAAAGUGUGUAUUGUGGGGAAUAUUUCACAAUUUUCCCAGUGCAAGGAUAACAGAAGGGAGUCGAAAAAGAGGAAAAGCUUUUCUUCCCCCCCCCAACUGCAGCAGUGUGCGUGUGUGAACGUGUGUUUUCCCUCCCAGUUUUUCCUCAGUUUUCCCCGUGGAAGGAGGAUCGUCGUGUCCCGUUUUGAAGUUUGCCCCCCAAAAUCAGUAGGCUGUUUCGAAAAAAAAUCCUCGAGGGCGAAAUCAAGGUGUGUUCUACGAAGGAAAAUCUUCGCAGGAAAUAAAAGGGAAAUUCGCUCGGCCAAAGCAAUAGGCACCGAAGAAAAAAGGGAAAAUUGCCGUGUGUGUGACGUGAUUUUCGCUCAACCUUGCCCAAAAUAAAGCAGCAGCAGCGAUUUUUUAUUUCCAGUGUGUUUGUACGUGUGUCACUGUGUGUUUGUGUGUGAUUGAAGGCUAACCACCCAAAAAAAAGUGGCGGAAAAAUAAGAGGAAAAACAAGUUUUUCCCGAUUCGCGUGGAAAAUACACACGGCAGCGAAAGGAGGUGGCGUGUUGAGCGAAAAAGGAACCAGAUUUUGGAUUUUUUUUUACUUCGGAGUGAAGGAGAACAAGCGGAACCACGGACGAAGGAGCGAGCGGAACACGGGACGUUGGUAUUAAGCUUAAAAUAGCUAGGUCAUAAGAUCUACAGUAUCGUAAAGGCACUCUCGAUAAGAGCAAAGUUUUUCCUCGGACCACGUUGAAAGAAACUUUGUCGAAGCAGAGAAAGUUAGAAGAAAAAACGAUAGUGUCGCAAAGUUUAGCCCGUAAAAACUGUGCCAUCGAAGAAUUGCUCGUCUAGUACGUCGCAGCGUUCGCAGCAAUGGCCUGGGGCUACUGGAGUGCCACGGCCGUGGACCGGGGUCGGUCUCCGCGGCGAAACACCCAGCAGCAGCAGCAACUCCCCUACCAAACCCAAAGUUACCAACAGCAGCAGCAGCAGCAGCAGUACAGUUUGGCCCAGUCCCAGCACCAGCAGUCGACGCAGUGUCUCAACAGUUGUCCCCAGCAGCAGGUGGUGGCGGUUCCCCCGCCGGAACCUUCGCCACCGCCACCUCCAAUUCCGCAGCAGCAGCAGCAAAUCUGCGACAGUCCGUGCCACAGUCCCUGUCACAGUCCGCAGUUUCUGGAGCAACUGCCGCCGGAUCUGCCCUGCACUCCGGUGUGCACGUUCUCCCGUAGACAGUCACUUGAUAGUCCACAGGCCAACCAGCUGUCGGACAUCAUCUGCCGGGCGGUGCAGCCGUCGAUCCAGUCCGCCGGAAACACCCUGACGCGCGGUACCUCGCUGCGGGACACCGGCGAUUACGCCGUGCCGCACCCACAUCCGCACACGCACCACUACAUGACCACGACCACGUCUUCGGUGGAUACGCCGCGGACGCUGAGCCGGGUCGGAUCGUGCCCGGGCUCGACCGGUGGUUCCGGGUCGGGCCACGGGUCCGGCUCGGGGUCCAGUCCGGGUGGGGGUGGUGGAGGAGGCAUGGGCGGAGGUGGCCCCGGAAGCAUCGGCACCGGAAUGGGCAGCAUGGGCGGCAGUAUGCUCGGGAUGGUCAUCGGGAUGGGGGUCGGGGGGCUGGGCGGUGGCCCCGCCAGCAUGAUGGGCAGCAUGGGGAUGGUGAGCAUGGGAGGAGGCAUGGGAGGGAGGGACAGUGUGAUGGGGGGCGGUGGGAUUUGUGGGGCGAGUUUGCACGGCGGCAGUCAGGCGGGAGGGUUGGAGUACGUGGAGUGUUCGCACUACGACCGGAUGCCGUUGCCGAUUCCGGUGCAGAUUCCGAUGGUGCCGCCGAUGAUGCAGCAGAUGCACUCGGAGGACGAGAUCGAACCGGCGUAUGCGACAGUAUUUCCCAAUGUUCCGACGGCGCCCGGAAUGUCCUGCAUCGGGGAAGACCGAAGCAUUUAUCGAAGAGGUGCCAGAAGAUGGCGCAAGCUGUACCGGAUAAAUGGACACAUCUUCCAGGCGAAACGAUUUAAUCGGAAAGCCUUCUGCGCGUUCUGCCACGACCGCAUCUGGGGCCUCGGCCGGCAGGGCUUCAAGUGCAUCCAGUGCAAGCUGCUGGUGCACAAGAAGUGCCACAAGCUCGGCAGCAAACCGUGCAGCAACGAACACGUCGAACCGGUGCUGGUUCAGGACCCGAACGACGAAUCCAGCGGCCAGGAUGGCAUCCCGCCACCGGAGCAGUACCCGUCCGGUGACUCGUACCACCACGAGCAGUGCGACCAGGUGCCGGUUGAGGUCAACGAGAACGUCGAGGAACCGCUCGAGUCGGGCACCCAGCGGCAGUACUCGCUGCAGGACUUUGAGCUGAUUCGCGUCAUCGGCCGCGGCAGCUACGCUAAGGUGCUGAUGGUGGAGCUGAAGAAGACGCGCCGCAUCUACGCGAUGAAGGUCAUCAAGAAGGCGCUCGUCACCGACGACGAGGACAUCGACUGGGUCCAGACGGAGAAGCACGUGUUCGAGACCGCCUCGAACCAUCCGUUCCUGGUGGGGCUGCACUCGUGCUUCCAGACGCCGUCGAGGUUGUUCUUCGUGAUUGAGUUUGUGCGCGGUGGCGAUCUGAUGUUCCACAUGCAGCGCCAGCGCCGCCUGCCGGAGGAGCACGCGCGGUUCUACGCGGCGGAGAUCAGCCUGGCGUUGAACUUUUUGCACGAGAAGGGCAUCAUCUACCGGGAUCUGAAGCUGGACAACGUGCUGCUGGAUCACGAGGGCCACAUCAAGCUGACCGAUUACGGCAUGUGCAAGGAGGGCAUCCGUCCGGGCGACACGACCUCGACGUUCUGCGGCACGCCCAACUACAUCGCGCCGGAGAUUCUGCGGGGGGAGGAUUACGGCUUCUCCGUCGAUUGGUGGGCGCUGGGAGUCCUGCUGUACGAGAUGCUGGCAGGUCGCAGUCCGUUCGACAUUGCCGGAGCUUCCGAGAAUCCGGACCAGAACACCGAGGACUACCUGUUCCAGGUGAUCCUGGAGAAGACGAUCCGUAUCCCGCGGUCGCUCAGCGUCAAGGCCGCCUCCGUGCUCAAGGGCUUCCUGAACAAGAACCCGGCCGACCGUCUGGGCUGCAACCGCGACUCGGCCUUCAUGGACAUCGUCAAUCAUCCGUUCUUCAAGAGCAUCGACUGGGAAAUGCUGGCCCAGAAAGAGGUCGCCCCACCCUACAUUCCGUCGUUCGACGGGUGCGACCAGGACAUUACCUAUCACUUUGAUCCCCAGUUUACGCGCGAACCGGCCGAACUGACCCCGGACGAUCCUCGCGUCAUCGACAAGAUCGACCAGAGCGAAUUCGAGGGCUUCGAGUACGUGAACCCGCUGCUGAUGUCGCUGGAGGACUGCGUUUGACAUCACGCGUCCUGCGAGCUGCACCCCUACAAUAUGCAGGACGAAAGCUCAUUAGUUUAAGCUAAUAGUGCAUUUACUAAAGCAUCAAAAAAUGAGUGAAGAUAAAUUGACUGAUUUUCUAGCUAGGGAACUGCAAACAGCUAUACGGUGACGAUUCUAGCGAUUACGAUUCCGUUGUGGAUAACCUAAGUAUUCUUCAAUUACCUCCUCCACCAUCAAAGAGUCUGCUGCAGCACAUGUUUUGCCUUCCAUUGAACUAGCAGUAAGCAGCAGCGGCAGCGACGAAACAGAAAGAAAGUGAAAGAAAGAACGAGAAACGGAAAUUGGACGCUCACUGACACACACAGAAACACAACUCUAUAUCUAUUUAACUAAGGAAGAAAAAAAAACAUUAAGAUUUAACAAAAUUGAUACAAAUUAGCGGCAAAGAACGAAAAUUAGGUAAUUAAAAGCAAAAUUAUUUCAAACAUCAAAAGAAAAAAAAGACAAAACAAAAAAGUUCGAACUCAUGGCUGGCUAGAUCAUCAACUCUUCACUCAAAAAUAGGCAAAGAAAAGGUAAACAAAAAAAAAAAUACACUCAAAGAAAUCGCUUCAUUGUUAGCUAAAGUAUUUGACGACGAAUAGAAAUGGGGAAACGAAAUUGUGUACAGUAAACAGCAAAAAAAAAAAGGUUAAAGCAAAACAUUUAGCUAAUGAAAAUAUUCCAACAAAAAAGCAGCAGCAGCGAAAUGGAUUUUAACAACAAACUUUUAAAAGGACAUUAAACUACAACGCGCGAAUGAGUAACACGAUAACUGACUUUACUAAAUAGGAGGAAAUUAAAGUAACAACAAAUAAGUAAAGAAGAAAAAAACUUGUUAGAUAAAGCAUUCAAAUUAUUCCAGAGGAAAAAAAACACACACACAGAAAAAAAGAGACGGAAGGGAACGUUUUAUAUUCAAUUGAAUUCAUUAAACUAGAACAGAUGAAAAACAAGAAAACGAAGACAAAAUCAACAAUUCAAAACUAUUACUCCGUCAGCAAGUUAAAACUUCUAUCGCGUGAUGAACAUAUUUUCACAGUAAAAAAAAAGUAAAAUGAUUUAUUCCUCGACCUGAAAGACAUUCCUGAAAAAAGAAGAAGAAAAAAAGAAGAUAUUUUCUAUGGCCUGUUACCUGACUUUGUUUGUUGAAUGCUUUUCAGUGUGUGUGCGGUUUAAUUUUGGUCGCAUUAAACUUUUUUUCCGUUAUAAAACAUUCCACACUUUUGUUCAAUAAAUAUGGUAGAGCGCAUUGUGAUCUUUCUAAACUAUGGAAAACAGAAACAAAAAAAAAAAAAGAAAAGAUUUGUUGUGUAUUUGUUGUAUAAUUGAGUCCUUCCAGAAGCACACUUUCAAGUGAGGUAAUUAUUUAAACUAAACAAAAAAAAAAGAAAUGAGAAGAAAUCUUUAUCCUAACAAAGUGGUUAUAAAACAAGUAUUUUUGAAAAUGCAAAAAAUAACAAAAAAAAAACGCCGAUAAAUUCCUACUUUAAUCGUUCACAACAGAUUCGUAGUUUGUUAGAGUUUUUACUCUUUUUUGAAUAAAUUAAUUUCAUUUACGUUAUUUAGCAACUAUUUAAGUAUUCAUUAGUUAAGAUUAUUUUCAAGUAUCAAGCGAACUUUUGCAGUAUUUUCUUUUGUAUUUCCUUCCUUUUUUCAACUGAUUCCUGUGACCCUCUUUUAAGUGUACUUAACAUUUCACUCCCUUCUGUUUAGCUUUCUUUCAAUUGUUUAGAUUUAGUUUAACAUUAGAGCAACACUGUAAGUGAAGAAGAAAACAACUCACGAACACACACACACACACACACACACUCACAUUACUAUUGAAAGAAGAAUAAAGCUGAAAUUGACUAUUUCGA